AAGUCGGAACAAGGUUUCCGUAGGUGAACCUGCGGAAGGAUCAUUAACACGUAUGCAACGUUAAACCCCUGUGAACCUUCAUUGUGCUCCCCCAGUCCGUUAGAACGCGGCAAUUCCUGGUAAAUCAUCGCCGAACAGUUUUGAUUCAGGGACCUCUGCAUGGAGUGGGCUUGCAGCGCGAGGCAAGUGGCCUGACAUUCCUCUGCUUGUUGGUGUCUGAAAGUGUCACUAGCUCUGUAAGAAUGACGCAGUAACGAUCGCUAGUCCGACACGGCCGGCGACCGGGUCACCGGGCUCACGCCCCCCUAUCAAAACGGGCCUGCGCUUAAUUGUGCGGCCACCAAACUCGAACAACUGUUAACAAUGGAUAUCUUGGUUCUC
rnacentral:misc_RNA from 1 species